UUGUAAUAUUAAUUGAGAUUAUUCAAAAUGAUGAGAGGGGAUUUUUUAUCUAAGAUACUCAAAGCACAUCAAAUAGCUUCCAGUUAUUGUGAAUUUUACUCUAUGUAUGGCCUCCUAUGAAAAAACAGCCCAGAAGAAGCAGUUCUCAUGUUUUGCUCUUUUCUAAACCAAAUUAAAGCAUGUGUUUUCCUUUCUUGCAGUCUAGCAAUAAUUAACUACUCAUUUUCUUUCUAUUGUGUACAUUCCUACUGACCUUCAUGUUAACAUGCAGAUGCAGCAGUAAAUGAAAAGCUGUAUUGGCUUUUUCUGUUGUUCCACACAACCCAAAAAGUAUGUUUGCUAGUGGAAGGAAAUUAUUCUCCAGCUUCUGAGAAAGUACUGUGGAAUAUACAUUGUUUCUAUGUGGACAAUUUGCAACAGGUGAGAGCAAAACACAAAGUUCAGGUCAAAGCUUAGGUUGGACUGUGAUCCGAGGUCUGUCUCUCCAUCGUGCAGACUGUGUGGGCCUUGCAGGAAAAAUGGUGCAGUGUUUAAGACACUGGCUUGGAGAACAGGACUGUUGUAGUAAGUUCCAUAUUCCAUCACGCUUUUGUCUGGCAGCAGGUAAGUAAUUUAGCCUUUGAGCUUCAGUUCCAUCUGUAAAAUAGCCAUAAGUAGUGCUCCCCUUCUUUGCAAUUGAAGGUAAAUACAGGAGUGUGGGGUUUUUUGAUGCUCUAGAGAACAUUUCUUUUCUUGUCUGAUUAGUUUUCUUCAAGGUUAGGAAAAAUUGGUCUGAAUUUGUGUGAGAAUCAGAUAUUUUGGUUCCAGAAAUUUAACAUGUUUUGAAGAAUCUUUUUCAAAAGAAAAUAACAAUGAAAUUUCUCAGAUCUUCAAACUGGUAAAAUACUAUGUUCCAAAAAUGGAAAUUUUAUAUUUUGGGAGGCAAACAGAAAACUCAUCUGUUUUUCACAAUACUAAUAUUUUUCGGAAGAACUGCAAAUAUAAGUGAGUUGAAAUUCAACCCAACAGGAAUGUUUUGUACAGAUGUACAAAAAAAGCAGAAAAUUGGUCAGCUUUUUUUGGUGGUCCAGCUGCCUCAGCAAUUUUUUGAGAUUCACCAAUUUUCAAUGUUUUGAGCUGCUAUUUACCUUAUUUUCUGUAACAAUGGGUCCUCCCUUCUGACCUUGGCAUGCCAAAAAAGCAACAGUAAUCCUUCUAAGAGUUACAGGUGCUAAGUGGGGGAGAUUGGGGCACAAUGAAAGGAGAUGAGAAAGAACUUGAGAUACUGCUGGGAAGAGUGUUCCUCCUGUAGCCCCUGAGGAACACUUGGAAGUGGAGUGGUGGAUAUGAAGAGGAAACAGAAUUCAGUUGAGUGAGAGCAUGAGGAACAUGGGACAUAAAUCCGUUGGCAUAUACAGCCAUUGUAGGCUCUGCAGCUCACAGAGCAAAUUGGGAUACCUCUUGACCCCUUUUCUGUUUCCUCCCCAGCAGAUUGGAAGUAAACCUUUCUUUAGAAAGUUCCUAAGCAAGACAAAGGUUAUCAUGAGAAGAGAGCAUCGGAGGAGGAAUUGUAUAGCUGUCCUUUGCUCUAGCCUACCUUAAGAGGCCAAACAUCAUGGAAUCAUUUGUGGUGGAAAGGACCUCAUGCUGAAAAGUGUCUUUCAGGUUCCAGGUCACAGGGAGAGGUGCCUCCUAUCAGCUUCUUUCCAUAACUCAGAAAGGUCUUUGGGUGCCUAUUGCUUAGAAAGGCUCUGACAAGGCAGGCAUGACAACCAGAUAAUGACUGCUUUGAAGAACAUAAGUUUCCCUUUGCUUCACUUCUUUGGAAUCACAGAAGAGACACAGAUAAAGAUGUGCUGUCUCAAAAGCAGUCGUAUCACAAAAUCACAGACUAUACACUGGAAAGGACACUUGGAGGUCAUCUAAUCCAAUUCCGUGCUCAAAGCAGGGCUAACUCUGGAGUCAGAUCAAGGUGCUAAGGAUUAUUUGGUGUGAAGGUGUCUCAGGAUUAUGUGCUGUCUUGUAGCUAGUUCCUCAAGCUUAGGUAAGUCAGUACACAAGAUCAUUAUAUCUGGGAGGACUGCAGAAUCAGUACCUGUCUGAAGUGUAGGUGGAACUAUCAUCAUCUGUGUUGGUGCAAAGCUUGUUAGAAUAUACCAGGGACUAUGGUAUUGAUAUCUCUGGACUUAACAUGCCUGUCCUGGAGAAAAAACAUCCUUAAGGUGAUUCAAGGAUUCACCUUUGUCCCUUUUCUGUGCAUUCUCAUUCAAAGCAAAGAAAAUCUAGAGAGCUCUAUUUGCUUUUCCCGCUGCAGAUGAGGGAAUGGGCUCCUAGUGAGAGUAUGGAUGGAACAGGCUUUCUAAGAGGUGUUUGAAGAGGGGAAGCGAGGAGCUAUUUUUGGGUGAGCUGGUCAGCCAUACUCCCUUUUGAAGCCUCACUGCCAGAAGGGCUUUGGCAGUGGGAAGGCAACCAUGCAGUGGGACAUGAGUGGUAGUCACAUUUCUGUGCACCCAGCAAAGCAAGAGCCACAGUCAUGUUGUUGCAAGCUCACCACCAAAGGAACGGGGGCUGCUCAGCCCAGCCCAGUCCACAACAAGAAGAGAAUUAUCCCCCCAGUACACCUCAAACAGUCCACACCAUCUAUUGCUCUUCAGCCUAGUCAGUAUUUCUAGUUCUCUAAAGGAGGGCUACUAACAUUUGGAAAGUCUCUACACACAAGGUCUUUCCAAACACUCCUGUCUCAUUUCCCUUGGACUGGAAAUCAUUUCAGAUGUGCCAGCUGGUACUCAGCCCCUGGGCUGAUUCCAGCACCUGUGCCUAGUUUUAUGUCAAAGUGAGCUGGCUGAGCCUGUGGGACAUUACAGUGUGGCCUGAUGCAGGUGGUGCUUGGAAAGCUGCUGCCUGACUUCUGCAAGGAGGUGGAAAGCAACAGUGUCAGAGCAGAGCUGAGCAAAACAGUGAUUUCCAGUUGCUUCUGAUGUUUGUUUCUUGCAAGCUGCUAAGGAUUCAGACCAACUUGAUGGAAAUCUACCUUUGACAGAUGACAGCAGGAUUUCAUGAGUGAUUUCUAUCUCAAGGCGACUGCCCCUUCUCCACAGCCAGCAAGUAGCAAUAGCAUUUUAAAAGAACGAUGUCAGAGAGCAGCUUGGUUUUCUCAGUUGUCAUCAUUAUUUGUUUCUCUCCUGGCCAAACCACCAGAAGCAGGUUAAGGAUGACACAAGCUAGCAACAAAUCACCGGGUGGAGGACAGAGCAUGUGACAAUGCCCUGGCUAUGGUGCAAACAUUUGAGCUACGUUUCGAAAGCCUGGAUUUGUGUUCAGCAGAGUUCAUGAGUGAAAAAUAAAAGUCUCUGACGAUAACAAUCAACAACCUCAAUCUCAUUAGUGUCUACUCUUCAGAGAAGAGGCUGGAGUGGAUCCCAUCAAGCUGUGAUUUGGUUCAGUGCACUGGGGAAGGUUCCUAGAAGCAUUACCCCAGCUUCUUUACACUGUGCGCUGAAGGGGAAAAAAACAACAUUUGGCAAUUUGUUGUCAAUAUUUGUAUAACUCCUGAUGCCACUAAAACUGCAUAUGUAGGCUUUAAACUAACAAAAACAAAGCCGUGGCCAAGCUGGAGAGCUGGAUUUGUUUCCAUGCACAAUUAGGUUUAUUUGUUUAGGUCUCAUUUUAUUUGCUUUCAGAUGACUCAGAUAGGAGUAUUGCAAUCCUUUCAAAGUGAAGUAGUGUUCUGUGUAUUUUGGGCAUUGGGCUUAGCCAAAUGUGGAAAGAAUUGGCUGCUCAAUAGUAUUUUCCUACCCAGAGGUUUUUUUCAAACUUUUGAGAGGAACUGAAGGAAUGUUCCUUCCAUGCCAGGCUUUUUCCCCCCCUUCCCCUUCACAGCGUCUCUCCACAUUAUUGUUAAAGAGCACAGGAAUUUUAAAACACUCCUCUGUUGUGCAACUGUUAGCAACUGCUCUUAUUAAUUGUUUUACCAUUAUGCUGCAUAUUUAAAUUCUCGCUGGUGUCAUCCAUAACAUGCUGCUGUGAGUGUCUUUUAACCCAUUCCAAUAGAAUGUAUCAAUGGGGCCUUGCUCAGAAUCUCCCAUCCUGCUCGGCCAGCUCUGGGUUUGCUGAAAAUGAUUUCCUGCAUACAUGAAGGGAUAUGUACAUUUUGGCAAGUAGCCAAGUUUUCUGUUGGGAAUUAGUCACUAAGGGCAGAUUAUUUUCUAGUGGACAUGAUGGCAUGCCAUCAGUGUUAAGAGAAUCGUCUUAAAUCUCAACACCAUGGUGUUUCUUUUAUCCCCCAGCCCCCCAAAAAACAAAAGAAAACAAAAAGGCCAGGGUUUUUUUUUUGUCUCUUCUGUCUUAUAUGUGUAGGAGGCAAUGGCUUUUAAUUAGUGCUUUGGGCACCACUGGGGAUUUUUUUCCCUUUGAUUUCUUCUGAUAAUUUUGCUUCUAGAAAUACUACCUCGGGUGAUGUUUAAAAUGUAGACAAUAUGAACAGAUCCACAUUUAUUUCUAUUUCUAUGAAACAUAAAGGAUUUCCUGCACUCACCAGAAGUAUGCGUUUGAUUUAUAGCCUUCCUUAAUGCUCUUCCCACUCACACUCAUAAAGGAAAUAUAGUAACAAAGACUAUUAGACAAUCUAUUUUAAAGUUUGCCCUGAUAAAACCAAACUGGAACUUUAUUCAGUCUUAAAUGUCAAUCCUAAAAUUUGGGAUGUUUUUCUAAUCAAGAACAACAAACGUGGAAAGUGUCUCUGUGGAACAGAGCCAUGGCUCAGCACGCUGCUGGCCCGCUGCUGCACACACACUUCAGGGGCAGAUGGGGUUUGCCCAUCACAGACUCCUCCCUGUGCAAUAGCCUGCUCUGUGAGACUGCUUGACCCUGGGAGGGACUGAACAAUGCUUAUGAUAUGGGAUUUGUUGGGGUUUUUUGCUUUUUGCAGGAUAAGAACCCAAACUAUAUCUAUGACAAAUGACCCCAUUGAGGAGGAAUGUAAAUCUUCAACUACGAUAAAGAAAAAAGAAGUAAUAUAAAUUUCCAAGCCUGUGUUAAAAAACCAAAAACCAGAAGAAAUAAUAAGGUAGACAAACUGGAUGAUGCCUAGAGAUCUGUCCAUAUGACACUUUGUUUCCCUCCCUCCAGCUGCGGUGAUCUGAGACUGUCAGAAUAGAUGAAACCCAUUUAGUGUCCUUACUUAGCAUGGUAUCACUUUAUAACACCUUCAGGGCAUUUCAACAUUGUGCCUGGAAAGCUGUCAGACGACACAGUCCAGUGUGCUGGCUGCAGCUCUCCUGCCCUGUCCCCCCCACACCAUUUUGCUGUGUGCAGUUCUUAAGUUUAAUCCAAGGCUGAAUGAGACUCUGGAUUUCACUGGAAGCUGAGGGGGCUGGAUCAGAACCUUUCAGAGCUUAUAUUCUAUGGGCUGGUGUUAAACAUGUAAUUUGAUUAUUAAAGCAUGGUUUUGAUGCAGGAUGCAGGAAUUAGUCUGACUUCUAUUGACUAAUAAAUAUACAGUUAGCUUUUAUAAGCUGAAAAAGUGUAACCAUUCCAGAUGCAUAUCCUUUGAGCGCAUAGGAAAAUAUAAAGACAGUACACUGUGUUAUAGGUCCCUCAUCUCAUAAGAGGCUUCCUAUAUUAGCCUGAUUUUUACAGUGUUUGGGCUCCCUUAGUUGCCAUGUACAGUUGCCAUGUACAAUUAAGACACAGACUUUUUUUGGCAAGUUAUGUAUCUUUGCAUUUUUACUUACAAGGGACUGUGAGCUACAGCCGGGCAGGUUGUGAUUUCAAUCUAAGGUGGUUUCACCCCUUCCUUCCUGCAGAUGUGUAGUUGUGUGUAGGCAGAUACUUGCUGAUGCCUGGCUAGUAAUUCAAGUAUUGAGACUUGUGGUCUUACCACCACUUCCUGAUGUGCUUUACAGGUAAGCCUGAAAGGGGAAAGAGACUCUGGGGAGGAAAAUUAGACUAAAAGAAGUUAAAGAUUUAAAGCGUCAGCCUUGAAGCUACAAAGCAGUCAGGACAUGGAAGGAAUCACAGAAAGCAGACUGUACUUCCUCUUCCAUGUGAUGAGGGACCUGAAAGUUUGAGAAUAGUAAAAACUUACGGCUGUGCCAAGCACAAGUAAGAUAAUGCACAUGUUAAUCCUGUGUUAUCCUAUCCCUCUCUUCCCUAAGACAGAAUGAAGUAAGUCUGUAUCUAAAUGCCUGCUCCUGUUUAACUUCAGGGUAAAGUAAAAUACCUCACCCUGAAACAUCUCUGGGGGGGGUGUAAGUAAAUCACAGUCCAGACAAGACAUACAUGCUUUUCAUCUGUUGAGAAGUAUUACAUCUUAGCUGAGGGUGGGAAGGAGGUGGCUAUAAGCCAUGAAGGAGUACUUUAAGUCACCUGAACAUUAAACAUAUCCUAAUCACUAAUGACAGCACCAAAUGCUGGGAAGCAUGAGGAGAAAGAAGGGUGGAGUAAGAUGAACCACCAAUGAAGCUUUGAGAUCUAAGCAUGGCAGAAUCCAGGAAGGCUCCAGAGGCUCACAGGAAACUUUGCCUGUUAUCCUCUGAAAAUGGAUUUUUUUCUCUAUAUCUGAGGCUUGGUACACGUAGUCUGAUUUAAUCUAAUAAAAGAGAGGAUAAACUGCAGUCUGCUUUGAUGUACAGGUGCUACUUGUCAAAUGCCACUUUUCUCCCCUACUAAUGCAGAUCAAUCUGUCAUGUAAAAAAAUCAGUUAUUUUGAUAACCCAGCUUAUUUGUGAUGUUUCACUUUCAACUGAUAGUCUUUAUUACCUUGUCCUGCUCAUUUUAAAUAGGACAUUCAGUCUUCCAUGAUUAAUACCCUUAUUACAGUGAUACAUGUUUAUUUCCUCAUUGCUGGAGUUCAUAAAAUUAAAUUUCCCAUAUUUGAACUUCAUCAAACUGAAACAUACCAGGUAUCCUCAUUCCCCCAAAUUUUUGUAUGUUGCUUUUCUUAUUGUUACUCACUUCUUUUUUUUAAUACU